rnacentral:misc_RNA from 1 species
GUUGUGUAGAUCGGGCGGUUACCAGUGCAAAACCAUGCGGACGAUUUUCAACAAACAUGGCAGCCAUACAAUCGCUCAAUCCGAAAGCUGAAAUCGCCCGAGCGGCCCAAGCCCUGGCCAUCAACACCAGUGCUGCCAAAGGUUUGCAAGAUGUCUUACGGACAAACCUAGGACCGAAGGGUACUAUCAAAAUGCUAGUGUCUGGGAGUGGCGACAUCAAACUGACGAAAGAUGGCAACGUUCUCCUCCAUGAAAUGCAAAUUCAACAUCCCACUGCGUCCAUGAUAGCCAAGGUGGCCACUGCCCAAGACGACAUCACGGGUGACGGGACUACAUCCAAUGUGCUCAUCAUUGGAGAGCUUCUCAAGCAGGCAGACCUGUACAUAUCAGAGGGCCUGCAUCCCCGUAUAGUGACGGAGGGCUUCGAGUUGGCCAAAGCCAAAGCCUUACAGAUCCUGGAGGAAGUCAAGGUAGCUCAAGAGAUGGACAGAGACAUGCUGAUCAGCGUGGCUCGUACCUCCCUCCGCACCAAGGUCCACGCUGAGAUGGCAGACCUGUUGACUGAGGUUAUUGUGGAUGCCGUGCUGGCGAUCCGUCAGCCCAAGGAGCAGAUUGACCUGCACAUGGUGGAGAUCAUGCAGAUGCAGCACAAGACGGACCUGGACACCACGCUGGUCCGCGGGCUGGUCAUGGACCAUGGAGCCCGCCACCCGGACAUGAAGAAACGGGUCACUGAUGCUUACAUCCUGACCUGCAAUGUCUCCAUGGAGUACGAGAAGAGUGAGGUAAACGCAGGGUUCUUCUACAAGUCGGCCGAAGAUCGGGAGAAGCUGGUUCAGGCUGAGCGAGCAUUCACCGACGAGAAGGUCCAAAAGGUCAUUGAGCUGAAGAGGAAAGUCUGCGAAGGAAACGACAAAGGCUUCGUCGUCAUCAACCAAAAGGGCAUCGAUCCGCUGUCAUUAGACAUGUUGGCAAAAGAAGGAAUUGUAGCGCUCCGCCGAGCCAAGAGAAGAAACAUGGAAAGGUUGUGCUUGGCGUGCGGAGGACUUGCCAUGAACUCUGUAGACGAUCUAGCCGUGGAGAACCUGGGACAUGCAGGGCUCGUAUUCGAACAUGUUCUGGGAGAAGAGAAGUUCACCUUUGUGGAGGAGUGUGCUAACCCUCUCUCUGUGACCAUCCUGAUCAAAGGACCCAACAAACACACUCUGAGCCAGAUCAAGGAUGCCAUACAUGAUGGUCUACGUGCCGUCAAGAAUGCCAUUGAAGAUGCUGCCGUUGUUCCCGGUGCUGGUGCCUUGGAAAUCGCAAUCCACGCUGGCCUGAUCAAAUUCAAGGAGACGGUCAAAGGCCGUGCCCGUCUAGGUGUCCAGGCCUUCGCCGAUGCUCUCCUGAUCAUCCCCAAAGUCCUAGCCCAGAACUCUGGUCUGGACCCCCAGGAGGUCAUCGUCAAGCUGCAAGAAGAGUACGCAGAGAGCAAGCAGCUGGUUGGGGUUGAUAUAUCCACUGGUGAGGCUCUUGUGGCAGCUGAUGCAGGCAUCUGGGAUAACUAUUGUGUCAAGAAGCAAAUUCUUCAUUCAUGUACGGUGAUCGCUGGCAACCUCCUACUAGUCGAUGAGAUCAUGAGGGCCGGUCUAUCCUCGCUCAAAGGAUCCUGAUUGUUCCCAAUAGUUCCUAGCCAAUGCCUUUCUAAGCACGUCAUUGUCUAAGUUAACCAAGCUUUAAACAAAUGCUCUUUGUGAAAUCACUGCAAUGGAUUAUGAUAACUCCCUUAAUAACUUGUUGGCUUUGGAAAUCUUACACAAAAGAAUAGUUUCUCAUCCGGGGUUUUUCAAAAGGAAGGAGACCCCACUUGAUCAUGUCUGUGCUGAGAAAUCGUCGUCACAUCUUGGGUGACGUGAGCAUGGUUGCAAGUGUCGAGAUGCCACAUGUUUCUCGAGGAUCACACGAUUUCUCAGUUUUGUGACCUGAGCAGUAUUUUUCUGCUUGAUGCCGUCGCGCGAGCAAAUCGCAGGUCAAGCUGAGGCCACCCCAUUAGUGGCUUUGCAAAGCCAACAAGCUAAGGCAUAUAUCUGUGACCCGCCAUCACAAAACUGACAGCCGAACUCUUUAUAUUGGUCUUUGCAGUUUUUGGCACUGUUACGCAACAAGCAUAGCGAUGGCCCCAACUUUAGUUCGGGACAAUCCCAACUGUAGUUGGAAAGUCCCAACUGUAGUUAGGACAAUCCCAACUGUAGUUAGGACAAUCCCAACUGUAGUUAGGGGAGUCCAAACCAGUCCCAACUAUAGUUGAGAUAGUCCCAACUGUAGUUAGGACAACCCCAACUGUAGUUAGGACAACCCCAAAUGUAGUUAGGACAACCCCAAAUGUAGUUAGGACAAUCCCAACUGUAGUUAGGGCAGUCCAAACCAGUCCCAACUAUAGUUGGGAUAGUCCCAACUGUAGUUAGGACAAUCCCAGCUAUAGUUGGGACAGGGUUGUAGUUGAAGCAUAACACCAGAUAAUCUGCAUUCCUCGCAUGCUGUAAUUUCACCAAGUGAAAGCACAGACCUUGUAAGCUCUUCCUGCAGUUACGGUCGGGUUUCGGGAUUGGGGGUCACGUGUGAGUUGUCGAUUUUCAUGUAGCUUUGAAUACAUAUAGAUGUUAAAAAUGUGAGUCUGUCUCGCUUAGUUUAAAAGCACCUGUAUCGUCAAGGAAUUGGUGGAAAUCCAUAGUUCAUCCCUGCUACGUACAACAGUCCUUACCAAAUCUGACUAAGCGAAUUUAUUGGUUAGCAGAAUUAUCACAGGGACCCGUUUUUAAGCAAUAUAUUUCACAUAUCAGUUGUAAGCUUUUACUUUCUCAGCAAAGUUUAUCUUCUAUCAGUUAAGCAGAAUUUGCCAUUAUUUUCAAAUGGAAUACUUGGCAUUCAAAAUGUUGCUAAGCACUUUAAGGAAGUAAGCUGAAGUUAGUAAGGCAUCAGACAGGCAGUGAAAAAUUCUCCAUCCAUUUAAUAGUAAGAAAUAUGUCAGUUUUCUUUUUUCUUAUAAAAAAGUUUAGCCUGAAAAAAGGUACUAUUUGUCUUCAUGGAAACACAACUGUGCUUGUUAAAUUUUGUUAAGUAUUAUUUUUCUUUUCUUUUUUGCUGUGUGCUGAGGAUUACAUCAGCAAAUUUAUUUUAAAAAAAGUUUGUAUUGCUUUUUGUUACUGAAAAGAAAAAUGAGUUGAUUGGUCAGUUUAUGUUUGCAGCCCCUGGUUUUGAAAAACUCUUGGAUUUUGUAAGGCAAUAUAUUCCCCCGAGUUGCAAUGUUGUCUAUGCUCUGAGUGGUAUAUGUCAUGAAUAAAAACUGAAUGUGUGAUCCAAAGUAA